AAAUUUUUAUUUCUAAUGGCAUACCUAUGUAAUUACUUACAAAAAUUAAGGUUACAUUUAAAAUGUACUUCCCAAAUAAUAUAGUAGGAUAAUAACUUAAUAUAUAAGGGAUAUGUCUUUGAUAUUGUAGAAUUUCAUAUGCGUAGAAC
rnacentral:sRNA from 1 species